rnacentral:rRNA from 2 species
GACGAACGCUGGCGGCAUGCCUAAUACAUGCAAGUCGAACGAACUUUCCUUUUGAUUGAUGCUUGCAUCAUGAUUUAGAUCUAAGUGAGUGGCGGACGGGUGAGUAACACGUGGGUAACCUGCCCAGAAGUGGGGGAUAACAUUUGGAAACAAGUGCUAAUACCGCAUAACAACAUUAAACACAUGUUUUUUGUUUAAAAGAUGGUUUUGCUAUCUCUUCUGGAUGGACCCGCGGCGUAUUAGCUAGUUGGUGAGGUAAUAGCUCACCAAGGCGAUGAUACGUAGCCGACCUGAGAGGGUAAUCGGCCACAUUGGGACUGAGACACGGCCCAAACUCCUACGGGAGGCAGCAGUAGGGAAUCUUCCACAAUGGACGAAAGUCUGAUGGAGCAAUGCCGCGUGAGUGAAGAAGGUUUUCGGAUCGUAAAACUCUGUUGUUGAAGAAGAACAUAUGUGAGAGUAACUGUUCACGUAUUGACGGUAUUCAACCAGAAAGCCACGGCUAACUACGUG